AUCUACAGGACCCAGCUGCUACUCACCAGGUAUAUACAUACAAAGCUAAUAUUUCAAUUGAUUUUUACUACUCAAAUGUACGUUCGGAAUUCAAUACAUCUGUUGUGGAAUCAUUCUGAUAACUUUAGAAAGCCGGAUGGAGAAAAUUUCUAGCCUAUGUUGGACCAGGUUUCUUGGUUUCUUUGGCUUAUCUUGAUCCUGGAAACCUGGAGACUGAUAUGCAAGCUGGAGCAAACCAUGGUUAUGAGUCAUCGGCUUGGUUUUUGCUCUGAUAAUUCAGUCACUUGCUGCAAAUCUUGGUGUAAGCACAG